rnacentral:rRNA from 1 species
UACGUAGGGGGCAAGCGUUGUCCGGAUUUACUGGGCGUAAAGAGCGUGUAGGCGGCCACGCAGGUCCGUUGUGAAAACUGGAGGCUCAACCUUCAGACGUCGACGGAAACCGUGUGGCUAGAGUCCGGAAGAGGAGAGUGGAAUUCCUGGUGUAGCGGUGAAAUGCGCAGAUAUCAGGAGGAACACCGAUGGCGAAGGCAGGUCUCUGGGCCACUACUGACGCUGAGAAGCGAAAGCAUGGGGAGCGAACAGG